GAUGAACGCUGGCGGCGUGCCUAAUACAUGCAAGUCGAGCGAACGGACGAGAAGCUUGCUUCUCUGAUGUUAGCGGCGGACGGGUGAGUAACACGUGGAUAACCUACCUAUAAGACUGGGAUAAUUUCGGGAAACCGGAGCUAAUACCGGAUAAUAUUUUGAACCGCAUGGUUCAAAAGUGAAAGACGGUCUUGCUGUCACUUAUAGAUGGAUCCGCGCUGCAUUAGUUAGUUGGUAAGGUAACGGCUUACCAAGGCAACGAUGCAUAGCCGACCUGAGAGGGUGAUCGGCCACACUGGAACUGAGACACGGUCCAGACUCCUACGGGAGGCAGCAGUAGGGAAUCUUCCGCAAUGGGCGAAAGCCUGACGGAGCAACGCCGCGUGAGUGAUGAAGGUCUUCGGAUCGUAAAACUCUGUUAUUAGGGAAGAACAUAUGUGUAAGUAACUGUGCACAUCUUGACGGUACCUAAACAGAAAGCCACGGCUAACUACGUG
rnacentral:rRNA from 1 species